GAAAGGGAGAAAGAAAAAGAAAUUGAGUUGCUUUCAGUCUGUGCAUCAUGCUGAACAGUUCCAGCGACAAUCUUUACAACACUGCUAUAUUCAGAUAUAAAAUCUUAAUGUACUAUCGUGCAUUGCAUCUUACAUUGUGCUGGAAAAAAAAGGGUGUGCGAUGAUCUCAUGAGCUUUUGUGUGUCCUUUUAAAGAUGUAAAAUCACAGAUCAUGCAUGAUAAUAAUCACUCUGGAAUCUGAGCUGGGUUGUGAUGUCUGGCUUUGUUGGUGAUGAUGUAUGAAGUGCACAGCAAGAAGCUUGAUUUUCAUAUUCUGGAAUAAACCUGAAAUAUAGAGAGAAG